GCCUGGCUGGCUCAGUCAGGAGAGCAUGCAACUCUCAAUCUCUGUAGUGUGAGUUCAAGCCCCAUGCUGGGCA
rnacentral:tRNA from 1 species